rnacentral:rRNA from 1 species
GAGGUAGGUGGUCUCAUUAGUCAGGGGUGAAAUCCUGGGGCUUAACCCCAGAAGUGCCUUUGAAACGGUGGGACUGGAGUCCUGGAGAGGGUCGUGGAAUUCCCGGUGUAGCGGUGAAAUGCGUAGAGAUCGGGAGGAACACCAGAGGCGAAGGCGGCGACCUGGACAGGAACUGACACUCAACUCCGAAAGCGUGGGGAGCAAACA